rnacentral:rRNA from 1 species
AUUGAACGCUGGCGGCAGGCCUAACACAUGCAAGUCGAGCGAGCGGCGGACGGGUGAGUAAUGUCUGGGAAACUGCCUGAUGGAGGGGGAUAACUACUGGAAACGGUAGCUAAUACCGCAUACCAUCAGAUGUGCCCAGAGGGGAUUAGCUAGUAGGUGGGGUAACGGCUCACCUAGGCGACGAUCCCUAGCUGGUCUGAGAGGAUGACCAGCCAUACGGGAACUGAGACACGGUCCAGACUCCGACGUGAGGCAGCGGUGGGGAAUAUGGCACAAUGGGCGCAAGCAUGAUGCUGCCAAGCCGCGUAUGUGAAGAAGGCCUUCGGGUUGUAAAGCACUUUCAGCGGGGGGGCGUUACCAGCAGAAGAAGCACCGGCUAACUCCGUGCCAGCAGCCGCGGUAAUAC